rnacentral:rRNA from 1 species
AAGAGACAGCAGUCGCCGCGGUAAGACAGAGGAUGCAAGCGUUAUCCGGAAUGAUUGGGCGUAAAGCGUCUGUAGGUGGCUUUUCAAGUCCGCCGUCAAAUCCCAGGGCUCAACCCUGGACAGGCGGUGGAAACUACCAAGCUGGAGUACGGUAGGGGCAGAGGGAAUUUCCAGUGGAACGGUGAAAUGCGUUGAGAUCAAAAAGAACACCAACAGCGAAAGCACUCUGCUGGGACGACACUGACACUAAGAGACGAAAGCUAGGGGAGCAAAUGGGAUUAGAUACCCCCGUAGUCCCUGUCUCUUAUAC